UUUUUUUUUUUUCCAUUUUGGCCUCCCUGCAGCAUAUGGAGUUCCUAGGCCAGGGAUGAGAUCUGACCUGCAGUUGUGACCUAAGCCACAGCUACAGCAACACCAGAUCCUUAACCCAGUGUGCCGGGCGGAGGAUGGCACCUGCUGUGUCCCAGUGCUUCCAAGAGGCCCCUGAUUCCAUUGCGUCACAGUGGGAACUCCCUUCUUCUGAAUCUUAAUUUCUACUUUUUGCACUGUAUGGUGGUAUGUGAACCUCAGACAUGCCUGUGUUUCCAUUUCUUCUAAAAAUAUUGCAUUAUGAUAAUAUUAAUGUACUAUUUUAGUAUUAAUUUUAUAAUUAACAAAAUUAUAAUUUCUAGUAUUUACAUUACUAAUUCAAUAGUUGACAUACUGGAGAAUAGUUUAUAUAUAAAGAUAUAAUACAUAUUUAUAAUUUUAAGAAUAAUAAGACUAAAACUCAGUAUCCAUUUUGCAGGUUAACAAGAGAAUAAUGCCAGAGGCUGUGAAGUUCCUGAAAGAGUCUAGUAUGUUGCUUCACCCUCCUGACUGUAAGAAACUCUAUCCUUGGAGUUACCGUCAUUGCUCAGUGGAAACAAGCCUGACUAGUAUCCACGAGGAUUCAGGUUUGAUCCCUGGUCUUGCUCAGUGGGUUAAGGAUCCUGAACUGCUGUGGCUGUGGUAUAGGUCGGCAGCUGCAGCUCUGAUUCAACCCCUAGUCCAGGAACUUCCAAAGCCACAGAUGCAGCCCUAAAAAAAAAGAAAGAAAGAAAAAAGAAAUUCUAUCCUAAAUUUUAUGUUAAUCCUUCUCUUGCUUUUCUUUAUAAUUUUGCUAUGGUAAAUCCCAACAAUAUAAUGCUUAGUUUUGCCUGGUUUUGAACUUUAGAUCAAAGAAAUUAUAUUGUGUAUAUUCUUUUGUAAUGUGUUCUUUCACUCAACUUUGAGAACCACAAUGCAAAAUCAAACCCUCAUUUCUUAAAUUUCAUGGCUCUAUGGUACUCCAUGGUUUGAAUGCAUCCUACCUGGUUUCUUAACUCUAUUGUAAAUUUGGUUAUCUCUAGCAUUUUGCUAUGAUGAACUAAAAGCAUUCUUACAGAUGAGCCCUACUGUGCAAAAAUUUGCCUAAGGCAAAGUUUCUCAAAAAAAGAAAAAGUAAUAAAAUUUUUUUGACUUGAGUAUCUGCUAAAAACUUUUGACAAGCGAAAUAUUAUGUCAAAUAUUUUUAAGGAAGUAUCUGCAGUUUUUCAACAGAGGCUUAAAUAUUUGCAAAGGCUAUCUUAUCUGUCAUGCUGCAAAUAUGGUACAAACUCUGUGAUAAAUGCACAUUCAAAUAUAAAGCAAGGAGUGGUUGGCACAUUCUCCCACCAUUUCCUAUCCUCAGAAGAGGUGUUACCUCCCAUAGGAAUAGGGCAGAGAGAGGAGCCAAGGAAGGAAGGAAGCUGGGGAAGGAAAGAGCAGGCACAUAGGAUGGGCCGUGGACGUCUGAGUCUGUAGUUAUCACCCAGCCUGGGCUCCCUCAUUCCAACACAACAGGCUUCAACUAACAGAUUCUCAGAAUUGCUGUCACUUUUCUGGACAUUUUAGAAAUUUUCAAGACAGAAAUACCCCAUUGAUACGAAAGUUGGAAAUGGAAGGAACAGCUCAGCAAAGUCAUUCAAUUCUUUGAAUGCUUCCUAACUUGUGUGCAAAAAGGCACUUAGUAAUCGAACAUCUUCAAGAAUUAUUUUUAAUGACCCCUCAACUGACCACUUGACUAGACCCUUUUGCGAUUUGGUUGAAAGUAAAGAAUUGUAAACUGUUCGAUUUAUAAAAACUUUUCAGGCAUGUGAGUUAUCCAUUUUUUUCAGUUUCUGGGAAAGAGAAUAAAGAGGCUUUACCAAUUGUAUUCCAGAAAGAUUUAUCAAAUUCAUCAUACUUGAAAUUUUUUCCCUUAGAGUCCCCUCGCUUAACCUAAUGGAGGUUAUAUAACCUGGAAAGGACUAGGAAAAGGAAAUACUACUGUUGAUACAAUAUAUUUAACAUCAUAUUUUUAAUAAAAUUAUUUUCAUUCCAACUUGUGCUUUUAAAACAUUUUCAUCUAAAAGUCAGAAAUAAGAACAGAACCUAUUUAAUUUGUGGAUAAAAUCCAGUAUAUAACUGAACCAGCAAAACUAAUCUUUAAUUUUAGCCCAUCAUCUAACCCAGACUUAGUGUCAGAAAAAAAAAAAAAAAUCUGACAUCAUAGCUUAAAUUUUUAAAAUCUGGUACUAUGAAGCCCUAACAGACUUUUAACUUUUGCAUUAUAAUUCUACCACAGAUAAUACACAGUAGGGAGUUCCCGUUGUGGCUCAGCAGGGUAGGAUCCCAACUUCAUGUCCCCAAAAAUGCAGGUUUGAUCCCUGGCCUCAAUCAGUGGGUUAAGGAUCUUGUGUUGCUGUGGCUGCGGUGUAGGCCUGCAGCUGCAGCUCUGAUUUGACCCCUAGCCUGGAAACUUCUAUAUGCCAUGGGUGCAGCCAUAAAAAAAAAAGAAAGAAAGAAAAAAGGAAAAAAAAAGAUAAUACAUAGGUAGAUAAGUGGAUGAAUGGAUGAACAUGUGAUAGAGAUAGUCUUUCUCGAAGUUUGUUACCUGGAGAGUUCCCACGGUGGCUCAGCAGUAAUGAACCCGACGAGUAUCUAUGAGGACGCAGGUUCUAUCCCUGGCCUUGCUCAGUGGGUCAAGGAUCCGAAGUUGCCAUGAGCUGCGCUGUAGAUCACAGGCAUGGCUCGGAUCUAGCAUUGCUGUGGCUGUGGUGUAUGCUGGCAGCUGCAGCUCCGAUUCAACACCUAGCCUGGGAACUUCCAUAUGCUGGAGCUCUAAAAAGCAAAAAAGAAAAAGAGAAAAAAAAAAGUUGUUAACUGGAUGAAAUAAGGCACUCCACCUUUAAAAUUCACAAGAGUAAUGCAUUUUAGAUAGUAGUCGGAAAUUUCAAGAGGUCAGGAAAAUUGUCAUCACUCCCACUGGAUUCAAAAUAUCCUGAUGUGAACCAAAAUAUUCCAUUUCUAACACAAUACUCUGCUCUCAACAGAAAAAUUUAUAAGACCACAAAAAUCACAAAGCCCUACCACAGGUUAAUGUUAUCUUGAUUGAAGGAGGCUUCAGAAGGGCAACAAGAUCGUGCAUUGCCUUUUUGGUUCUCUCCAAGGAUCUGCACAUCCCAGAGUGAUGCAUCAGAGGAACUGAAGGUCAGUAAGAGAUUUUCUUUUUUAACAAUAGACUAAGGAUGAUUGUGCAAAGGGAGUUAGAAAAGGAGAGCCAACAAGAUGUUUUUAUCCAACAGGUGUUCCCAGACAGAACAAUUUUAGAAAAGAAUACCUACAGAGAUUGCAGGUCUAAAAAUUAAUUCACUUAAAACCCCCUAUGCUUGCAGACCCCCUGAAAAAUCGCUACGAAGCCCCAGGAAACACUUGCUCUAAAGUGUGAAGACCAGUGCCAAAGAGUAAAGACUCAGGCGUAGAACUGGGGUCACAGGACGUGUGUAUCUUCAACUUUAUUAGACAAUCGCAAAUUGUUUUCCAAAGUGAUCAGCCCAACGUGCAGUCCCACCUGCCGCCUGCAAGGGUUCCCAUCUCGCCACAUUCUUGCUGGCAAUUGGUAUUGCCAAGGUUUUUUUCUUGCCCAUCGAAUAGUUGUAAAAUUUUAUUUCCUCUUUUAAUUGGCAUUUCUUUCAGGACUGAGAUGAUCUUUUCUUGUGUUUAUUGACCAUUUAUGUUUCCCCUUUUGUGAAAUUCCUAUCUGUGUCUCUAGUCCAUUUAUCCACUGAAUUCAUUUGGCUUUUUUCUUAUUGAUUCUCAAGAAAUUUUCUUUGAACAUACUGUAUAUUAUAGUACUCCGUCAAUUAUAUACAUUCAAAAUAGGUUCAUUGGUUUAGGGAUUACCUUUUUACUCUGUUUAUAAUGUAGUUUGAUGAAAAAAAGUCAAUUUGGGGGAGGAGGAGAUUUUUAGGGCCACACCUACGGCAUAUGGAAGUUGCCAGGCUAGGGGUCGAAUCAGAGUUAUAGGUGCCAGGCUAUGCCAGAGCCAGAGCAACGCUAGAUCCUAGCCAUGUCUGCGACCUACACCACAGCUCAGGGCAACACCAGGUCCCCAGCUAACUGAGAGAGGCCAAGGAUUGAACCGGCAUCCUCAUGGGUCCUAGUCGGAUUCCUUUCCACUGUGCCACUACAGGAAUUCCAAAAGUCAGUUUUAAUGUAGUUGAAUUUAUCAGUAUUUCCCUUUAUGGCUUGUGCUUUUUGUGUAUCUUAGGAAACUCCUGCUCUCUCAAGAUCAUAAAGACACUCUCCUAGAUGUUCUUCUAAAAUUUAAAAAUUUUGCCAUUAAGUACUCAAUCCAUCUGGAAUUGCUUUAUGCAUCUGAGACCUAGUGGUGAUCCAUUUUCCUUUUUUACCAUCAAGAUAAAAAUUGCCUUUGCACCAUUUACAGAAUUUCCUAUCCUUUCCCCCACUGACCUGCAGAGCCAGCUCGGUCAUCUACCAGCUUUCCAUGUAUGUGUGGAUCCAGUGCUGGACUCCCCGUUUGUCCCAUUGACCUGCCUAACGAUCCCCAUGUCAACGUCACAAUACCUGAAUUACUACCGCUUUAUUGCAAGGUCGCCCUACCCACAAGGGCAAGUCCCCACCCAGAGGACACCUCUUCAUCAAGAAGUGUCUUCAUUGACUUUGGCACUUUGCCCUUCGUGGCAGCCAUGAAGGCACUCACGCUCCUUCAGUCUCAGGGAUAACCUGCCAGGGGAAGGGCAGUCAGCCUCCACCCUCCAGCGGGAGGUGCCUUCAGAAACGACAUCAUCUUCAAGCCUGAGGCCAUUCACUGCAGAGACUGCCCAGCGGAUGACUGAGUGCAGGGGUGGGUGAGCAAGCUCUCACUGAGUGCAUCCGGCCAGAGUGGGACUUCUCUAUGGACAGUCAUUCACUCCAGCUGCCCUUUGGACUAGUGGAGACGUCUCACGCUGAACCCAAUAAUGAGGCUCUCCAUCCCUGAUUCUCCUUUGCUCCUCCUAUCUUUUCACAGGUCUAGAUCAACAUAGCCAUCUGAAGGCUUUACCUGCCCCCUCCUACUCCCUCUUCCCUCUCUAUCUUAUGGGCAUUCCACUCCCUAAACCUCUAACUCCAUCUUCUUUUUUUUUUUUAAGGCUGCACCUGCAACAUAUGGAAGUUCCCAGACUAGGGGUCUAAUCAGAGCUGUAGCUGCUGACCAUAGCCACAGCCACAGCAACGCCAGAUCCAAGCCACCUCCGUGACCUACACCACAGCUUACGGCAAUGCCCGAUCCUUAACACACUGAGCGAGGCCAGGGAUGGAGACAGGCACUCCUCUAACUCCAUCUCGGAGGCUGCUUCCCAGAAAACCCAACCGUUGUAUGCUCACGAAAACCUGAGAAUGUUCCUACCGAUCAUGCUCCACAAGACAAUUUGUUGAGGUACAAUCUGGGAUUGAACUGAAUCUAUUAGUCCGUGAAUCUAUGAAUCUAUUAACCAGUUUGGGGAGAAUUAACAUCUUUACAAAAUGUAAACUUUCUAUACAUAAACAUGUUAUAUCUGUUUAUUUCGGUCUUCUAAUAUCUUUUAAUAAUGUUGUAAACUUGUUACCAAAAAUAAUAGUAACAGUAAUGUGUAGGUCAUUGCGAAAAAUUUACAACUUGGACGUUUCAUUUUUGGUUGGGAUGAUAUCUGGAUGCCUAAAAUUUCAUUUUCUGACCUUUUGAACUUUUUUUUUUUUCCUGGUCUAAAGAAAUGCCAUAACGGAGUUAUGGCUCAGUGGUUAAUGAACCCGACUAUUAUCCGUGAGGAUGCGGUUUGACCCCGGGCCUUGCUCAGUGAGUUAAGGAUCCAGCAUUGCCAUGAACUGUGGUGUAGGUCACAGAUGCGGCUCAGAUCCUGCAUUGCUGUGGCUGUGGCAUAGGCAGGCAGUCGUAUCUCCAAUUCAACUCCUAGCCUGGGAACCUCCAUAUGCUGUAUUUGCUGAUUUGAAGAAAGCAAAAAAGGAAAAAGAAAAAAGGCCAUAACUUUUUGUAUCUUAGAUCCACAAGCCUUGAUAAACAUUCUUACUAAUUCUUUUGAUUUCUUGGUAUAUUCACUUAGGUUUUCUUUGUACAGUAUUUUCUGCUAAUUAUGGCAGCUUCCUUUCUUCCUUUCCAAAUCUUGAAACUCAUUUAUCAUUCUUAUCUGAGUAUAGGAGCUAUGGCUUCUAGAAAAGAUUGAAGAGAAAAAGUUAAAGGGUCAUCCUUGUCUUGCUCUUGAACUUAAAAGAGAACACUUUAAAUUUUCUACCUUUGAGGAGGGUGCUGGCUGUAGGUGUUUUUUUUGUUUGUUUGUUUUUUUGCUGAUUCUUUAAUUAAUUUUAGGAAAAUUUCCUCCUAUUGCUAAUUUCCUAGGAGGUUUUUUUUUUUUUUUUUUUUUUAAAUAAUGAGCAAUGCAUUGCACCCAAUUGGACACUGC
rnacentral:lncRNA from 1 species